AUGAUAUAUUAUUUAAUCGUGGAAAUGCCAUGUCAGGUGCACCUAUCAGAAUCGGAACAAACCAAUUACCAAAUCCACCUAUCAUCGCUGACAUAA
rnacentral:rRNA from 1 species